AACGAACGCUGGCGGCAGGCUUAACACAUGCAAGUCGAACGCCCCGCAAGGGGAGUGGCAGACGGGUGAGUAACGCGUGGGAACAUACCCUUUUCUGCGGAAUAGCUCCGGGAAACUGGAAUUAAUACCGCAUGUGCCCUACGGGGGAAAGAUUUAUCGGGGAAGGAUUGGCCCGCGUUGGAUUAGCUAGUUGGUGGGGUAAAGGCCUACCAAGGCGACGAUCCAUAGCUGGUCUGAGAGGAUGAUCAGCCACAUUGGGACUGAGACACGGCCCAAACUCCUACGGGAGGCAGCAG
rnacentral:rRNA from 1 species